CGCCUCUGCGUUGCCAACUGCGCGUACAGCGGACACGUCGAUUCUUGCCUGCGCGGAUCCCGCACGCCGCCGAGACGGCUUCGGCUUCGAUUCGACGAAUUUCAAGAGGAACCACUACGAUGCCUGGCCGCCAGGCUCGACCUAAUAUCGUCCGGAGCCCCAGGUGACGAUUUUUCUGUCGCGUCCUAUAUCGACGAGAUAUCUAUUUGAUUGCUUGAUGGAUGUUUUUCUCGAUAAUGAAACGAAUAUUGAAGACACAGACGUGGAUAAAAUUUGUCAGACUUGAUCAAUUGCGCGUCGACGUACAUAUUGUGGAUGUCGCUGGAUUCCUACCUGGUAACAGGCGAACCUAUGACAUUUUGUACGCAUGUCACACCAAGCACCAAGGGAGGUUCAGCAUGAGUCACGGUUAUCGACCUCGGGGUGGAUGGGCGCUAUUUUGCUCCAUAAAUGCAUUCCCACCCUCUCGUGUGAAUUGUGCAGAAUUUCCGCGAACCACGCGCGAAAUUCACCUUGAUGAAACAAAUGAUCGCGACGAGGGGUUCGUCAUAUAAAACUACCUUGAUUCAGAAACGGCAAGCAUUGAGUCAUCGUACACGAUCGAUAUCGUCUAUAUAUAUAACAUGCCGCAGGGUGAGUCGCGUGCGAUUCCCAUUUCUGAGGACUAGCCAACCAGCCGGUUAAUGGCGAUUUUAUGUCUGGCUUUUAUAUAUGGCAUAUAUAAAAGUAAUUGAGCCGAGAAUAAAUUUUCGAGAGAAAUCUAGAAAAUAAUAUAAUCUUGAUAAUUGAUAAGCAAAUUAAUGCAAAAUAUAGGAUGUUAAAAUCCAUAUUUGGAUAUUAAAAUUAUGGAAAUUAUAGAAAUGGGGGCACAUUGACGUUUGUCACAUGGUCAAGCUAUUUUAAUAAAAAUAUAUAUGUAUAGAUAAGAUAUUGUUGUAUGUACAGAAUUGAUGGCUAAAAAGAGGAGCGACCCAGACUAGACCUUGCCUCGCCUGGUACUUUAUUGAUCCUAAGAAGGUGAACGGCAACAGAUACGCUUAAAUGCUUCCGCAGGCCUGUUUAUUUGUCUCAUUACUGACGUAAUCGGGAGUGGGUGAAAAAUGAAAUAAGUAGAAUUACACAUUUUAUCCAAGCGCAACAUUCGCAAAAAGCAUAAUCCACGGCGAAAUCGUGCGACUCAGUGUUUCUGGAGACAUCCUUGUUCGAGAGAGGGUCUCUUUCAUAUAUCCAGGCUAAAAGUUUUGAGACAUGACCACUUUCUCAUGGGAUCGAGCGAUACGGGAGCUCGAAAACAGACGACAACGUCGGCGUGUUUGCCGUAAAUGGCUUUCCGCUUGCGGAGGUCGCCAACGAUAUAUGCAUCGCGACGAAGGAGGACGAAGUUCUCCUCUCUUGGCAUUUGAUUCUGGAGGUAUUACACAAUGCGUCAUGUUAGUGCCAUCGACGCCAUUUAAAGGCAAUAAAGGACCUCCCACUUAAUGAAGAAGGAAUCAAGAGUCAGAAGUUCUACAACAUUGGGUGGGACGUACAAGGCGAUCUCGUUAGUCGCUUUUGUACUGUUACAUCGGCAAAAUGCGCGGAGCAAUACAAAUCCAGAAUGAUCCAUUAUGGUAUUCGAUUAUUCAAAGGAAGA